rnacentral:rRNA from 1 species
UACAGAGGGGGCAAGCGUUGUUCGGAAUUACUGGGCGUAAAGGGCGCGUAGGCGGCCUUCUAAGUCGAACGUGAAAUCCCCGGGCUCAACCCGGGAACUGCGUCCGAUACUGGAAGGCUUGAAUCCGGGAGAGGGAUGCGGAAUUCCAGGUGUAGCGGUGAAAUGCGUAGAUAUCUGGAGGAACACCGGUGGCGAAGGCGGCAUCCUGGACCGGCAUUGACGCUGAGGCGCGAAAAGCCAGGGGAGCAAAGCGGG